UUGUGUGAGUUUCCGGGACGUUCGGAGGGUGGCCUCUCUCCCACCGGGUUCCGCAUACCCCAGGCACCGGCCCGCAUCCAAGUGUCAGGUUGGAGCCGGGAAGCGGCCCUGGUGGUAGCGGCGGCGGGGGCAGGAUGAGCGCGGAGGCGGCGGACCGGGAGGCGGCCACCUCCAGCCGGCCCUGCACCCCGCCGCAGACCUGCUGGUUUGAGUUUCUGCUGGAGGAGUCACUGUUGGAGAAACAUCUGCGCAAGCCCUGCCCGGUUUGUCUGUUCCAGUAUUGAAUAUGCUACUAAAUGAACUACUCUGCAUCAGUAAAGUUCCUCCUGGGACAAAGCAUGUAGACAUGGAUCUGGCCACUUUACCUCCGACCACUGCCAUGGCUGUACUUCUCUAUAAUAGAUGGGCAAUUAGGACAAUUGUUCAAAGUAGUUUUCCAGUCAAACAGGCAAAACCCGGACCCCCUCAGUUAAGUGUUAUGAAUCAAAUGCAACAGGAAAAAGAGCUAACAGAAAACAUUUUGAAAGUGCUCAAAGAACAAGCUGCUGAUUCUAUUUUGGUACUAGAAG
rnacentral:lncRNA from 1 species